ACUGCUGAGCCCCCAUCCGUCCGCCGCCACCCACUCCGGACACAGAACAUCCAUCCAGUCAUGGAUAAAAAUGAGCUCGUUCAGAAGGCCAAACUGGCCGAGCAGGCUGAGAGAUAUGAUGACAUGGCAGCCUGCAUGAAGUCUGUAACUGAGCAAGGAGCUGAAUUAUCCAAGAGGAAAGGAAUCUUCUCUCAGUUGCUUAUAAUAAUGUUGUAGGAGCCCGUAGGUCAUCUUGGAGGGUCGUCUCAAGUAUUGAGCAAAAGAUGGAAGGCGCUGAGAAAAAAGAGCAGAUGGCUCGAGAAUACAGAGAGAAAAUUGAGACUGAGCUAAGAGAUAUCUGCAAUGAUGUAUUGUCUCUCUUGGAAAAAUUCUUGAUCCCCAAUGCUUCACAAGCAGAGAGCAAAGUCUUCUAUUUGAAAAUGAAAGGAGACUAUUACCGUUACUUGGCUGAGGUUGCUGCUGGUGAUGACAAGAAAGGGAUUGUGGAUCAGUCACUACAAGCAUAUCAAGAAGCUUUUGAAAUCAGCAAAAAGGAAAUGCAACCAACACAUCCUAUCAGAUUGGGUCUGGCCCCUCGUAACUCCUCUGUGUUCUAUUACGAGAUUCUGAACUCCCCUGAGAAAGCCUGCUGUCUUGCAAAGACAGCUUUUGAUGAAGCCAUUGCUGAAUUUGAUACAUUAAGUGAAGAGUCAUACAAAGACAGCACGCUAAUAAUGCAAACACUGAGAGACAACUUGACAUUGUGGACAUCGGAUACCCAAGGAGAUGAAGCUGAAGCAGGAGAAGGAGGGGAAAAUUAACCUGCCUUCCAACUUUUGUCUGCCUCAUUCUAAAAUUUACACAGUAGACCAUUUGUCAUCCAUGCUGUCCCACAAAUAGU